AUACGUAUGGGGCGAGCGUUAUCCGGAAUUAUUGGGCGUAAAGAGUACGUAGGUGGUUUUUUAAGCGGGAGGUUUAAGGCUACGGCUUAACCGUAGUUCGCCUCUCGAACUGGAAGACUUGAGUGCAGGAGAGGGAAGCGGAAUUCCUAGUGUAGCGGUGAAAUGCGUAGAUAUUAGGAGGAACACCGGUGGCGAAGGCGGCUUUCUGGACUGUAACUGACACUGAGGUACGAAAGCGUGGGGAGCAAACAGGAUUAGAUACCCUGGUAGUCCACGCCGUAAACGAUGAGCACUAGGUGUCGGGUCAAAAGGCUCGGUGCCGAAGUUAACGCAUUAAGUGCUCCGCCUGGGGAGUACGUACGCAAGUAUGAAACUCAAAUGAAUUGACGGGG
rnacentral:rRNA from 1 species